rnacentral:rRNA from 1 species
ACAAGCGGUGGAGCAUGUAGUUUAAUUCGAUGACACGAGGAACCUUACCAAGGCUUAAAUGUAGUUUUGACCGGUUUGGAAGCAGAUGCUUCGCAAGACAAAUUACAGGUACUGCACGGUUGUCGUCAGCUCGUGCCGUGAGGUGUCAGGUUAAGUCCUAUAGCGAGGCGCAGCCCCUGUUGUUGGUGCCAGCCGAGUCAAGUCGGGGAACUCUAACAAGACUGCCAGUGCAAGCUGUAAGGAAGGUGGGGAUGACGUCAAAUCAUCACGGCUAUACGCCUUGGGCUACACACGCUGCUACAAUGGGCGGUACAGAGAGCAGCCACCUCGCGAGGAGGGCGGAUCUCAAAACCGUUCUCCAGUUCGGAUCGGAGUCUGCAACUCGACUCCCGUGAAGCUGGAAUCGCUAGUAAUCGGAUAUCACACCCGAUCAAAGUGAAUACGUUCAAGGGCCUUGCUACGCACCGCCCGUCAAGCCAUGGAAGCUAGGGGUGCCUAAAGUCAGUGACCGCAAGAGGAGCUGCCCCUAGGAGUAAGGCUUAGUAACUAGGGCUAGAAGUCUAACAAAGGUAGCCGUGACCGGAAGGUGCGGCUGGAACACCUCCUUU